rnacentral:misc_RNA from 1 species
GAAAUGCGAUAAGUAAUGUGAAUUGCAGAAUUCAGUGAAUCAUCGAAUCUUUGAACGCACAUUGCGCCCGCCAGUACUCUGGCGGGCAUGCCUGUCCGAGCGCCAUUUCAACCAUCAAGCCCCGCUUGCGUUGGGGACCUGCGGCUGCCCGCAGGCCCUGAAAACCAGUGGCGGGCUCGCUAGCAACACCGAGCGCAGUAGCAUACACCUCGCUCCGGUCGUUCUGCGGGUCCCGGCCGUGAAACGCCCCCCAUCUAUACAAGGUUGGCCUCGGAUCAGGCAGGAAUACCCGCUGAACUUAA